rnacentral:rRNA from 1 species
AUACGUAGGGGGCGAACGUUGUCCGGAAUGAUUGGGCGUAAAGGGCGCGUAGGCGGCGCGGUAAGUCUGGAGUGAAAGUCCUGCUUUCAAGGUGGGAAUUGCUUUGGAUACUGCCGCGCUUGAGUGCAGGAGAGGUUAUCGGAAUUCCCGGUGUAGCGGUGAAAUGCGUAGAGAUCGGGAGGAACACCAGUGGCGAAGGCGGGUAACUGGACUGCAACUGACGCUGAGGCGCGAAAGUGUGGGGAGCAAACAGGAUUAGAUACCCUGGUAGUCCACACUGUAAACGAUGAAUGCUAGGUGUAAGAGGUAUCGACCCCUUUUGUGCCGGAGUCAACACAAUAAGCAUUCCGCCUGGGGAGUACGGCCGCAAGGUUGAAACUCAAAUGAAUUGACGGGG